rnacentral:tRNA from 1 species
GCGGGGAUAGCUCAGUUGGGAGAGCGUCAGACUGAAGUCAACUUCAAUCUUGAAAUCUGAAGGUCGUGCGUUCGAUCCGCACUCACCGCA